CGCUUUUUGUUGGUGGUAAAUAAAAAGUUAUGCCUGCUCAAUGAUUAGUAUUAAAUAGCCGCGGUACCCUGACUGCGCAAAGGUAGCACAAUCACUUGCCUCAUAAUUGGGGGCUGGAAUGAAUGGCUUGACGAGAGCUUGACUGUCUUUUUGUUUUUAAUUAUAAAUUAACUUUUAUGUGAAGAGGCAUAAAUUAUUAAAAGGGACGAGAAGACCCUAUUGAGCUUUAAUUUGGAUAUUGUGGUUUGAUUUGUAUUUAUAUAAUUAGUAUAAUAGCUGGUUUUAGUUGGGGCAACUGAGGGAUAAGGUGAAACUCCCUUAUUAAUUUGUUUAAAUUAUAGUUAAUGAUCCGCUUAUAGUAGCGAUUAAUAGAUAUAGUUACCAUAGGGAUAACAGCGUAAUUUUUUUUGAGAGUUCUAAUCGAAGGGGGAGAUUGCGACCUCGAUGUUGGAUUAAGGAUUCUUGGGGGAGUAGAAAUUCCUAAAGUAAGUCUGUUCGACUUUUAAAUCCUUACA
rnacentral:rRNA from 1 species